rnacentral:rRNA from 1 species
GACGAACGCUGGCGGCGUGCCUAAUACAUGCAAGUAGAACGCUGAAGCUUGGUGCUUGCACCGAGCGGAUGAGUUGCGAACGGGUGAGUAAAGCGUAGGUAACCUGCCUGGUAGCGGGGGAUAACUAUUGGAAACGAUAGCUAAUACAGCAUAACAGUAGAUAUCGCAUGAUAGCUACUUGAAAGGUGCAAAUGCACCACUACCAGAUGGACCUGCGUUGUAUUAGCUAGUUGGUGAGGUAACGGCUCACCAAGGCAACGAUACAUAGCCGACCUGAGAGGGUGAUCGGCCACACUGGGACUGAGACACGGCCCAGACUCCUACGGGAGGCAGCAGUAGGGAAUCUUCGGCAAUGGACGGAAGUCUGACCGAGCAACGCCGCGGGAGUGAAGAAGGUUUUCGGAUCGUAAAGCUCUGUUGUAAGAGAAGAACGAGUGUGAGAGUGGAAAGUUCACAGUGUGACGGUAUCUGACCAGAAAGGGACGGCUAACUACGUG